AACGAACGCUGGCGGCGCGCCUAAUACAUGCAAGUCGAGCGAGAAGACGUAGCAAUACGUUUGUAAAGCGGCGAACGGGUGAGGAAUACAUGGGUAACCUACCCUCGAGUGGGGAAUAACUAGCCGAAAGGUUAGCUAAUACCGCGUACGCUCCUUGGACUUCGGUUCAGGGAGGAAAGCGAUACCGUGGGUAUCGCGCUCUUGGAUGGGCUCAUGUCCUAUCAGCUUGUUGGUGAGGAACGGCUCACCAAGGCUUCGACGGGUAGCUGGUCUGAGAGGACGAUCAGCCACACUGGCACUGCGACACGGGCCAGGACUCCUACGGGAGCAGCAGUAAGGAAUAUUGCGCAAUGGGCGAAAGCCUGACGCAGCGACGCCGCGUGGGGGAUGAAGGUCUU
rnacentral:rRNA from 1 species